AGAGUUUGAUCCUGGCUCAGGAUGAUCGCUAGCGACAGGCUUAACACAUGCAAGUCGAGGGGCAGCGGGGAAGUAGCAAUACUUCCGCCGGCGACCGGCGCACGGGUGAGUAACACGUAUGGAACCUGCCCGUAGCAGGGGGAUAAGCGGAAGAAAUUCCGUCUAAUAUCGCGUAAUAACUCCGAGAGGCAUCUCCUGGGGUUUAAAGGGUAACACCGGCUACGGAUGGCCAUGCGGCGCAUUAGCUAGUUGGCGGGGUAACGGCCCACCAAGGCGACGAUGCGUAGGGGUUCUGAGAGGAAGGUCCCCCACACUGGUACUGAGACACGGACCAGACUCCUACGGGAGGCAGCAGUGAGGAAUAUUGGUCAAUGGCCGGAAGGCUGAACCAGCCAAGUCGCGUGAGGGAAGACGGCCCUACGGGUUGUAAACCUCUUUUGUCGGGGAGCAAAGGCGGUCAUGCGUGACCGGAUGAGAGUACCCGAAGAAAAAGCAUCGGCUAACUCCGUGCCAGCAGCCGCGGUAAUACGGAGGAUGCGAGCGUUAUCCGGAUUUAUUGGGUUUAAAGGGUGCGCAGGCGGGAUGCCAAGUCAGCGGUCAAAUUUCGGGGCUCAACCCCGAC
rnacentral:rRNA from 1 species